rnacentral:lncRNA from 1 species
UGAACAGUAGCAGUGAUGAUGUGGUAGCCAUGUAUUAGUUCGAUUUUAUCAAGUGGUUAUUCUCAAAUGUUCAAGUUUUGGACAAAAAUUAAUUUGGAUUGGUGGAAUUUGUUUUAGGAGGGAAAAUAAGUCUUGGGGCCUUUUUCAAUUUUCAAGACUUGACUUUUUCUUGUACUUCUCCUUAAAACAUGGGUCCUUAAAUCAUGGAAAAGUGGUUGAGAAGUAAUAUAAAGUCUUUUGGUGGUUGGGG